AGGAGUUUGGCAACUUUCAACACGAGGUGGAGAGAAAAAAAAAGAGAGAGGAAAAUAAAUAAGAGAGAGAAGAUGAGGGAGCGUGUGCGGCGGAUCAAAGCCACCUGGGACGGAGAGAUAGAAUUUAAGUCAGCCGCUAACAAAUGAUGUACACAGCUAACCGGUGCCAGCAGAGAGAGAGACGGAGACAAACUCGACGACGGCGACGAGGGACGAAAACAAACCUGCUAUCAGGGAUUAGAGCGAGGAGCUGAGCCUUUCAACAACUUCCUUUCAGCCUCGAAAUGAAAACACAAAAGAGGAGCUUUGGAUGCUGAGAGUUUUUGGCGUGAGAAGUUGGCCUUCCUGUAACAGAUAAGCUGCUUGUUGGAACACCUGAGUGUGUCCAUCAGGAGAGACACCGAGGGUCUGCUGUCUGCUCGAAGAAACCUGACUGCAAAGCAUGAGGUCCGUGUUUGAGGACGCACCUGUGUGGACCAGGUGAGCAUAGACUCUGUGAUACACUCAUCUUCAUCAUCUUCACGGCGUUUUUAAAAUUCAGGUCUGAGUCUUGGCUUUGGCGGCCGAACACCUGAAUCUCACUUUUUACUUUAGUUCAGCUGAAUAGAAACUUCAGCUCCUGUUUUUCUUUCUAGUCUGAUCCAGCAGGAGAGUAUGGAUGUUGAUCAGAGGAGGCCCAAGGAUGGAGCCUUGGGGAACCCCACAUGUGAUUUUUACCUGCCUAACCGCCAAGAGGAGCUUCAUGAGGAUUCUAAUGAAGAAACUUAUAGUUAGCUAGUUUUGACUUCCCACCGUGGACUGUAGACGGACUCGGUGAUUGUUCUUUAAACCAAUAGUUGAAUAUUUAGAGGGAGAUUCAUGAGAUUUUGCCACCAUUGUCAACGGUUU